rnacentral:rRNA from 1 species
ACUGUGCAAAGGUAGCAUAAUCAAUAGUUUUAUAAUUUAAUGCUGGAAUGAAAGGUUUGAUGAAAUAAUAAUUGUCUCAAUUUUAAAUUUUUAUAAUUUUAUUUUAAGUUAAAAAUCUUAAAUAAUUUUAAAAGACGAGAAGACCCUAUAGAUUUUUAUAAAAUUAUGAAAAAUUUAAAUUAAAAAUAUAUUAUUUUGCAAAAAUUUUAUUUAGUUGGGGAGAUUAUUAAAUUUAUAAAACUUUAAUUUUAUAAAACAUUAAUUUAUGAAUUAAAUGAUUUAAAAAUUUUAAAUUAAGAAUAAAAUACCUUAGGGAUAACAGCGUAAUUUUUUUAGAUAGUUCAUAUUGAUAAAAAAGUUUGCGACCUCGAUGUUGAA